UACGUGAGUGGCGAGCGUUAUCCGGAAUUACUGGGCGUAAAGGGUCCGCAGGGGGUGGUUCAAGUGCAAUGUUAAAUCUACUAGCUCAACUGGUAGGCUGCGUUGCAUACUGUUCCACUAGAGGUAUGUAGAGGUGAAUGGAAUUUCCGGAGUAGGGGUAAUAUCCGUAGAUACCGGAAGGAACACCAAUAGCGAAGGCAAUUCACUGGACAUCACCUGACCCUCAGGGACGAAAGCGUGGGGAGCGAACAGG
rnacentral:rRNA from 1 species